CCCACCAAGCCCCACCCCCUUGGGUGGCUGCCUCGGAGCCUGGAGUGGAAGGAGAGGGCGGGAGUGUGACUGGUGGAGUCCUUUCCCGCCCCCGCCCCACGCCGGCCUUCAGCUCCCGUCGUCCGACGCCAGGCGUGGGGGGACUUCGUCGUCUUAAGCCAUGUCCUCGCCGUGGGGGCGUCGCCUUGGCUUGUUCCCUUGUCCCACCUCCGAGCUUGCUCGAAGGCCGCGCCCACCGCGCGGGGGCGGGAGGGACCCAAUCUGCGUUUUUCUUGUAGGCCCCCAAAUGACAGUCCUGGGCGGGAGGCGCGGCCCUGGGCCGUCCCCUUAGUCUUUGACUCCUGCUUGUUGGCGGAGAGAGGCGUAGGCCGAGCUUGGCCCCGACUCCCCUCCCUCUGCUCCUCCCCUCCCCCUCCCCAGGGGUGAGCAUGUGUCGGAAUCGGUCCCGCCCCCUUUCCCCGAAUAGCUUGGGAGCUGGUAAACUCAGUAACCCAUCAGGCCCCACGCUUUCCCAGAAUUUCAGCAAGUUUACUGUUCUCCAGUAGAUGGUAGAAUUGCCCUUUCGACCCUUGUCACUUCGUGGGGCGUGUGCCACUUUUAGAGGGGAGUGGCUUUGUCAAAACUAAUGGGAGCCUGAAUAGAAGAGAUUGGAAAUGAAAGCUUGGUCUUUAGCUGUGCUGCUGACAAUUUUAAGUGAGGAACUGGUGUUUCGAGCAAUGUUCUUCGUGUGGUGGGAGGGGACGGUGUCUCUCCCUGCUGCCUACCAUUUUUUAUUCUACAUUUUAUGGAUAGAGGCCUUUUGCCACCCAGGUGGCAACAGGAAUGGGUUUUCUUAAGACACUACCUCUCUAUCAUCCUAUCCAAGUCAUUGCUGGCCUCCCUACUCCCCAGUCGCCAAACAGCGUUUCCAAAAAGUGACCCUCCUCUCUUUCCCUCUUCCUUGAUGCUGAUGAGCUGUAACAGAUUCCCGGUGAAGAAAACUGAAAUGCAGUUCCUACCAAAUUGUCUCUCCUGCCUACUAUCAAAUGCAAGAUAUUUUUGAUAAUCUAAAUCAAUAUUGGAACCAGAGCAGAACUUUAUUGCUCAAGAAGUUGGAUUUUGCUUCCAUCACAUGAGGAAACUAGCUUUUGAAACCAUCUCUGAGUGAAAGCCAAAGGAAAAAGGGAAGUUUGCUGAAGCUUGCAAAUUUAAGGUACUGUAAUGGAAUUUAUUAUGUUGAACAUUCACAGUAAAAUGUUCUAUAGGUGUUUAUCUCCA